AUUGAACGCUGGCGGCAGGCCUAACACAUGCAAGUCGAGCGGAUGAAGGGAGCUUGCUCCUGGAUUCAGCGGCGGACGGGUGAGUAAUGCCUAGGAAUCUGCCUGGUAGUGGGGGAUAACGUCCGGAAACGGGCGCUAAUACCGCAUACGUCCUGAGGGAGAAAGUGGGGGAUCUUCGGACCUCACGCUAUCAGAUGAGCCUAGGUCGGAUUAGCUAGUUGGUGGGGUAAAGGCCUACCAAGGCGACGAUCCGUAACUGGUCUGAGAGGAUGAUCAGUCACACUGGAACUGAGACAGGGUCCAGACUCCUACGGGAGGCAGCAGUGGGGAAUAUUGGACAAUGGGCGAAAGCCUGAUCCAGCCAUGCCGCGUGUGUGAAGAAGGUCUUCGGAUUGUAAAGCACUUUAAGUUGGGAGGAAGGGCAGUAAGUUAAUACCUUGCUGUUUUGACGGUACCAACAGAAUAAGCACCGGCUAACUUCGUG
rnacentral:rRNA from 1 species